GAGUUUGAUCUUGGCUCAGAUUGAACGCUGGCGGCGUGCCUAACACAUGCAAGUCGAGCGGUAACAGGCGUAGCAAUACGUGCUGACGAGCGGCGAACGGGUGAGCAAUGCUUCGGAAUCUGCCCAAUGGUGGGGAAUAACCAGUCGAAAGAUUGGCUAAUACCGCAUACGCCCUUCGGGGAAGGCGGGGUCGGCAGACCUCGCGCCGAUGGAUGAGCCGAAGUCGGAUUAGCUAGUUGGUAGGGUAACGGCCGUACCAAGGCGACGAUCCGUAGCUGGUCUGAGAGGACGACCAGCCACACUGGGACUGAGACACGGCCCACGACUCCUACGGGAGGCAGCAGUGGGGAAGUAUUGGACAAUGGGGGCGAACCCUCGAUCCAGCGACGCCGCGUGUGUGAAGAAGGCCUGCGGGUUGUAAAGCACUUUUAGUGGGGAUGAAAAGCACAUCACUAAUACUGGUGUGUCUUGACCUAACCCAAAGAAAAAGCACCGGCUAACUCUGUGCCAGCCGCCGCA
rnacentral:rRNA from 1 species